CGGGUGAGUAACACGUGGAUAACCUACCUAUAAGACUGGGAUAACUUCGGGAAACCGGAGCUAAUACCGGAUAAUAUAUUGAACCGCAUGGUUCAAUGGUGAAAGACGGUUUUGCUGUCACUUAUAGAUGGAUCCGCGCUGCAUUAGCUAGUUGGUAAGGUAACGGCUUACCAAGGCAACGAUGCGUAGCCGACCUGAGAGGGUGAUCGGCCACACUGGAACUGAGACACGGUCCAGACUCCUACGGGAGGCAGCAGAG
rnacentral:rRNA from 1 species